rnacentral:rRNA from 1 species
UUUGAUCCUGGCUCAGAGCGAACGCUGGCGGCGUGCCUAACACAUGCAAGUCGAGCGAGAAAGGGGUGGCAACACCCUGAGUAAAGCGGCGAACGGGUGAGUAACGCGUGGGUAAUCUACCUUCCAGUCUGGGAUAACUUCCCGAAAGGGAGGCUAAUACCGGAUGAUGUCCUCAUGGGGCAUCCUAAGGGGAGCAAAGGGGGCGCCCGCAAGGAGCUCUCGCUGGAGGAGGAACCUGCGUCCGAUUAGCUAGUUGGUGGGGUAAUGGCUCACCAAGGCGACGAUCGGUAGCCGGCCUGAGAGGGUGACCGGCCACACUGGGACUGAGACACGGCCCAGACUCCUACGGGAGGCAGCAGUGGGGAAUCUUGCGCAAUGGGCGACAGCCUGACGCAGCGACGCCGCGUGGGGGACGACGGCCUUCGGGUUGUAAACCCCUGUCGGGCGGAACGAAUCCCCCGAGGACGAAUACUCCUCGGGGUUGACGGUACCGCCGGAGGAAGCCCCGGCUAACUACGUGCCAGCAGCCGCGGUAAGACGUAGGGGGCGAGCGUUGCUCGGAUUUACUGGGCGUAAAGAGCGCGUAGGCGGCCAGGGAAGUCCGGUGUGAAAGCCCUCGGCUCAACCGAGGACCCGCAUUGGAAACUCCCUGGCUUGAGUCCAGGAGGGGAGGGUGGAAUUCCCGGUGUAGCGGUGAAAUGCGUAGAGAUCGGGAGGAACACCUGUGGCGAAGGCGGCCCUCUGGAAUGGUACUGACGCUGAGGCGCGAAAGCUGGGGGAGCAAACGGGAUUAGAUACCCCGGUAGUCCCAGCCGUAAACGAUGGGCGCUAGGUGUGGGAGGUAUUGAUCCCUUCCGUGCCGCAGCUAACGCAUUAAGCGCCCCGCCUGGGGAGUACGACCGCAAGGUUGAAACUCAAAGGAAUUGACGG